rnacentral:rRNA from 1 species
CUUGGCGACCAUAGCGCUUUGGACCCACCUGACUCCAUGCCGAACUCAGUAGUGAAACGAAGCAGCGCCGAUGGUAGUGUGGGGUCUCCCCAUGUGAGRGUAGGACAUCGCCAGGC